UACGUAGGUGGCAAGCGUUGUCCGGAUUUACUGGGCGUAAAGAGCGCGCAGGCGGUCGUUCAAGUCGCGUGUGAAAGCCCCCGGCUCAACUGGGGAGGGUCACGCGAUACUGAUCGACUCGAAGGCAGGAGAGGGUAGUGGAAUUCCCGGUGUAGUGGUGAAAUUCGUAGAUAUUAGGAAGAACACCGGUGGCGAAGGCGGCCCACUGGCUCGACACUGACGCUGAGGUGCGAAAGCGUGGGGAGCAAACAGG
rnacentral:rRNA from 1 species